rnacentral:rRNA from 1 species
UACGAAGGGGCUAGCGUUGCUCGGAAUCACUGGGCGUAAAGGGUGCGUAGGCGGGUCUUUAAGUCAGGGUGAAAUCCUGGAGCUCAACUCCAGAACUGCCUUUGAUACUGAGGAUCUUGAGUUCGGGAGAGGUGAGUGGAACUGCGAGUGUAGAGGUGAAAUUCGUAGAUAUUCGCAAGAACACCAGUGGCGAAGGCGGCUCACUGGCCCGGUACUGACGCUGAGGUGCGAAAGCGUGGGAGCAAACAGG